rnacentral:rRNA from 1 species
GACGAACGCUGGCGGCGUGCUUAACACAUGCAAGUCGAACGGAAAGGCCCUGCUUUUGUGGGGUGCUCGAGUGGCGAACGGGUGAGUAACACGUGAGUAACCUGCCCUUGACUUUGGGAUAACUUCAGGAAACUGGGGCUAAUACCGGAUAGGAGCUCCUGCUGCAUGGUGGGGGUUGGAAAGUUUCGGCGGUUGGGGAUGUACUCGCGGCUUAUCAGCUUGUUGGUGGGGUAGUGGCUUACCAAGGCUUUGACGGGUAGCCGGCCUGAGAGGGUGACCGGCCACAUUGGGACUGAGAGACGGACCAGACUCCUACGGGAGGCAGCAGUGGGGAAUAUUGCACAAUGGGCGGAAGCCUGAUGCAGCAACGCCGCGUGCGGGAUGACGGCCUUCGGGUUGUAAACCGCUUUCGCCUGUGACGAAGCGUGAGUGACGGUAAUGGGUAAAGAAGCACCGGCUAACUACGUG